GCAUCCUCAUUUAAUAGAGCUUGAAAUUACUAUAAUCUGUAAAGUACAGCGAGAAGAAGAAGUUUCACCUGCCUGCACAUCUGUCGUUGACUCUCCAUCUGACUUGGAGGGACUCUGAGGGACCAACCUGAGCCUGAGAAGAGGCAAGAUUCCCCUUCAAGGACACACUGGGAACUUACGGACCUCUUUCUCCAUGGUGCAGAGCGCACAGGCUACCUGAGAAUAUCCAGAGACUACAGAGGUCAUCAAGCUGACGCAUCAAUGUUUACAUGUGAACGAACAGACUCAUAAUAGUUCUUGAGCUUGCCAUUGGGAAGUGAAAAUCGACUGCUUGAAUAAAUGUAAGGACUCAGGUAGACAUCACCUUGUGACUCAACAGCAGCCAAUAAGAUGGAAAUAAAGGCCAUGAAGUUAUCGGAUGGCAUCUACAAGGAAUACUUAGAUGAGGAGGUGACUCUGGUAGCAAUUGUUCUUUUGUCUUUCUCACCUUCCUUCUUGUCCUGUCUGGGAUGCUGAAGUGAUGGCUGGUAUACAGAUUCUCUGUUGUGAUGUUGAGAUAAACAUGAGAAUAAAAGUCAGCAAUUACAGAUGGCAGAGAAGAGAGAGAAAGAUAGGAUGUAGGUGGAUAUUGAUGGAACUAAGUUUCUAUUGCACAAGUUCUACCACUAACCUCUGGACUUCAUGAUAUGUGAGGGAGAAAUAAACUCCUAUUUUAGAAGAGAUCUAUGUUACCUGCAACUGAACGGAAUGCUUAAUUGGCACAUCCUAUGUGCUCCAAACCUUCCUUAAUUUCUGUGUGUAAGGCAUACUUAGUCUUUACCCAUUAUUCUGUUCACAUUCAUUCACUCGAUCAGCCUCCCAACUCUACAGUAAAGAGUUUACUAUAGUUUACUCUAUUAGUAAGGGAGAUUCUGGAGCAAGCCCCACAAAUCAUAGAUUGAAUACCCAUUCAUCAAGAGAGAGAUUUAAAGAUACUUCUAUCCAAACACAUUUUAAAUUUCCAGCACCUUUGAGGUGGUGGAGGUUCAUGGUGGUUGAUAGGUUUAAAUGACUUGUGAUUCAAGCUCCAUAUUAUAAUGUAACAGUGCAAAAGUUCAUUUUUUAAAAUUUAUUUUACUUUAAGUUCUGGUAUACAUGUGUAGAACAUGCGGGUUUGUUACAUAGGUAUACAUGUGCCAUGGUGGUUUGCUGCACCUAUCAAACCGUCACCUAGGUUUUAAGAACCACAUGCAUUAGGUAUUUGACCUAAUGUUCUCCCUCAUGUUGCCCCCCACUCCCUGACAGGGCCCAGUGUGUGAUGUUCCCCUCCCUGUGUCCAUGUGUUCUCAUUGUUCAACUCCCACUUAUGAGUGAGAACAUGUGGUGUUUGAUUUUCUGUUCCUGUGUUAGUUUGCUGAGAAUGAUGGCUUCCAGCUUCAUCCAUGUCCCUGCAAAGGACACGAACUCAUUCUUUUUUAUGGCUGCAUAAUAUUCCAUGAGUCUGGAUUUGGUUACAGAUAGAGCUGGACGAGCCUUAGCUAUAUCUAAUGGCUUUUGACAUGUUAUAUCAAUUUCUUACUGCUUUUGUAAAUGAAUAUAUUAAGAAGAAAAAAUUACAAAUGACCCUUUCUUUACAAACUUUUAGGGUAAUCAAGUUCAGUUAUUAAAAAAUGGAUGUUUGCAACAUUCAUAGUAAUUAUUUUCAGAAAAUUAAAAAUGAUUAAAAAUUAUAUUUUCAUCCCAUUCAGAUAUUAUAUAUUUAACUGUGAGAUAAUUCUCAGAGAUAAAUGUCAACUUUUAAAAAAUGCUAAAUAAAUUAAAUCAAAAUAUCCACUCUAAAAUAAAUAAAUUAGCUCCGAUUAUUUCUUCUUUUUAAAUUUUUCCUUAUAGUUGUAAAAAUAAAGUGAACGUUUUGGCUCAUUUCCUCAUUAAAGUUUGAAUUUUCCAGUCA
rnacentral:lncRNA from 1 species